GCUAACGUCGGUGCAGGGGACGGGGUAAGACGGGGGGGGCAAGCAUUAAGCGGAAUUACUGGGCGUAAAGCGUGUGCAGGCUGCUUAUUAAGGCAGAUUGGAAAUCCCUAGGCUCAACCUAGGAACUGCAUUUGAAACUAAUAAACUAGAGUAUCGUAGAGGGAGGUAGAAUUCCAGGUGUAGCGGUGAAAUGCGUAGAUAUCUGGAGGAAUACCAGUGGCGAAGGCGACCUCCUGGACGAAAACUGACGCUCAAGCACGAAAGCAUGGGGAGCAAACAGGAUUAGAUACCCGAGUAGUC
rnacentral:rRNA from 1 species